GUACACACCGCCCCGUCACACCAUGGGAGUUGGUUUUACCCGAAGGGCGCUGUGCUAACCGCAAGGAGGCAGGCGACCACGGUAGGGUCAGCGACUGGGGUGAAGUCGUAACAAGGUAGCCGUAGGGGAACUGCGGCUGGAUCACCUCCUUUCUAAGGAAGAUCGAGAAUAGGAAAGACGCAGUCUUCGGGCUGAUGAUCCUUCUCCAUCUUAUUAGAACAUAGAUCGCAGGCCAGUCAGCCUGACGAUCGCUUUGCAGGCGUGCCGCCUUCGUUUCUCUUUCUUCAUUGUUGAUUGACACUUGUACCGCUCACGAGCCGUAUUGCAGCUGCGCUGCUUGGCUCUGCGCGAGCGCGCCGCAUGAGCGGCGACGGACUAGCGUCCUGUAUUUGGUUCUAACGGUUUGUUUGUUGGUUCUGAUACAAGGGCUUGUAGCUCAGUUGGUUAGAGCACACGCUUGAUAAGCGUGGGGUCGGAGGUUCAAGUCCUCCCAGGCCCACCAAAUUGUGAUAAGGGGCCAUAGCUCAGCUGGGAGAGCACCUGCUUUGCAAGCAGGGGGUCGUCGGUUCGAUCCCGUCUGGCUCCACCAUCACUUUUUUGGUGUCGAGUAGGACGGAUAGACAGUCAGUCAACAAGAGAAAGAACCAAGUUUGCGGACUUUACGAAGUCUGCGUGUUCUGUAUGAAAUCGUGAAGAGAAGAUGUAAUCGGAUCAACUAUCCAGUUGAUGUCGCAAUGGUUUGCUCAAACCUUGCAUUAUGAUUGGACGCUAACCGCGCCACCGAUUGUAUCUCGAGAAGCUGGUCUUUCUGCUGAUAUGAUCAGAGCUUAAUGCUUUGAUGGAUAU
rnacentral:misc_RNA from 1 species